UACGGGGGGGGGGCAAGCGUUGUUCGGAAUUACUGGGCGUAAAGGGCUCGUAGGUGGCCAACUAAGUCAUACGUGAAAUCCCUCAGCUUAACUGGGGAACUGCGUCUGAUACUGGAUGGCUUGAGUUUGGGAGAGGGAUGCGGAAUUCCAGGUGUAGCGGUGAAAUGCGUAGAUAUCUGGAGGAACACCGGUGGCGAAGGCGGCAUCCUGGACCAAUACUGACACUGAGGAGCGAAAGCCAGGGGAGCAAACGGGG
rnacentral:rRNA from 1 species